rnacentral:lncRNA from 1 species
AGGAGAUUUAUUGCGCGCUUUCUCUCUCCUAACUUCCCAGAGAGCGCGCUGAAAGUUACGCGGGGCCGAAGUAUGACAAAGGGGCAAGAAGCGACGUC